AAUGAACGCUGGCGGUGUGCCUAACACAUGCAAGUCGAGCGGCCACACGAUGAGCUUUCUCCUUUACCGUUGGCGACUGACGGGUGAGUAACACAUAGAUCACCUUCUUCUUUUUCGUGGAUAAUAUCGUAAAACCGGUUCCGCUACUACCUCAUAUGUCCUACCGCUUGGAUCAGUAGAUCUUCGCGCCUUUCGCGUUUGUAUUAGCCGAUGUCGCAUUAGCUAGUUGGCUAGGUAAGGGCCUACCAAGGCAACGAUGCGUAGCUGAUCUGAGAGGAUGAUCAGCCACACUGGAACUGAGACACGGUCCAGACUCCUACGGGAGGCAGCAGUAGGGAAUAUUGGGCAAUGGGCGAAAGCCUGACGGAGCAAUGCCGCGUGAGUGAAGAAGGUCUUCGGAUCGUAAAACUCUGUUAUUAGGGAAGAAAAAAAGUGGAAGUAAAUAUGGACGUCUUGACGGUACCUAAACAAAAAGCAACGGCUAACUACGUG
rnacentral:rRNA from 1 species